rnacentral:snRNA from 1 species
UGAUGUGAGGUCGCCCUGGCUGCGACAUUUGUCACCCCAUUGAUCGCCAGGGUUGAUUCGGCUGAUUUGGCAGGCUAGGCAGGUGUCCCCUUCCUCCCUCACCGCUCCAUGUGCGUUCCUCCCGAAGCUGCGUGCUCGGUGGAAGAGGACGAUGUCCCAGGUAUAGAAGGAGUGUACCGAGGUCUCCAGUCUUCGGUCCCAGGUAUACGAUAGCUGCGCUCCCCUGCUAGAACCUCCAAACAAGCUCAAGGUACAAACAAUUUGUGCAAGUCUAGUUAGAUUUUAUGAGU